UACAGAGGUCUCAAGCGUUGUUCGGAUUCAUUGGGCGUAAAGGGUGCGUAGGCGGCGCGGUAAGUCGGGGUGUGAAAUCUCGGGGCUUAACUCCGAAACUGCAUUCGAUACUGCCGGUGCUUGAGGACUGGAGAGGAGACUGGAAUUUACGGUGUAGCGGUGAAAUGCGUAGAUAUCGUAAGGAAGACCAGUGGCGAAGGCGGGUCUCUGGACAAGUUCCUG
rnacentral:rRNA from 1 species